ACCUUUAGCUCAGUUGGUUAGAGCAUCCGGCUCAUAACCGGACGGUCAUAGGUUCGAGUCCUAUAAGGUCC
rnacentral:tRNA from 1 species